AAACAACGACAGGGGAGCGCAACCACGUAUGUGGUGGGCGCUGAGAGUGCGGAUCACCGCAGACCCUCGAACCUGAUCCGGUUAGUACCGGCGAAGGGAGUCGAGUUCUCGAGGCU
rnacentral:ncRNA from 2 species